AUGACUUUGUCAACAACAACACCCAAACACAAGCACUGACUUGAGCUCUGAAUUCAUUAAGUGCUUCUUGUUGGGGUAAUGUUGCUGA
rnacentral:pre_miRNA from 13 species